GAUUAACGCUGGCGGCGUGCAUAACACAUGCAAGUCGAACGAUGAAACUUAACUGAUUUCUUCGGAAUGAUUUUAAGUGGAUUAGUGGCGGACGGGUGAGUAACGCGUGAGUAACCUGCCUUGGAGAAGGGGAUAGCCUUUGGAAACGAAGAAUAAUACCCUAUGAUAUGAUAAUAUCUCAUGAUAUUAUCAUCAAAGAUUUUUCGCUCUAAGAUGGACUUGCGUCUGAUUAGUUAGUUGGUGAGGUAACAGCUCACCAAGGCAGCGAUCAGUAGCCGGCUUGAGAGAGUGUACGGCCACAUUGGGACUGAGACACGGCCCAGACUCCUACGGGAGGCAGCAGUGGGGAAUUUUGCACAAUGGGGGAAACCCUGAUGCAGCGACGCCGCGUGAUUUAGAAGGCCUUCGGGUUGUAAAAAUCUUUUGUAUGGGAAGAAAAUGACAGUACCAUACGAAUAAGGACCGGCUAAUUACGUG
rnacentral:rRNA from 1 species